GAUGAACGCUAGCUACAGGCUUAACACAUGCAAGUCGAGGGGCAGCAUGGUCUUAGCUUGCUAAGGCCGAUGGCGACCGGCGCACGGGUGAGUAACACGUAUCCAACCUGCCGAUGACUCGGGGAUAGCCUUUCGAAAGAAAGAUUAAUACCCGAUGGCAUAGUUCUUCCGCAUGGUAGGACUAUUAAAGAAUUUCGGUCAUCGAUGGGGAUGCGUUCCAUUAGCUUGUUGGCGGGGUAACGGCCCACCAAGGCAUCGAUGGAUAGGGGUUCUGAGAGGAAGGUCCCCCACAUUGGAACUGAGACACGGUCCAA
rnacentral:rRNA from 1 species